UACGAGUGCCCCAAGCGUUAUCCGGAAUCAUUGGGCGUAAAGGGUGUGUAGGUGGUGUGGUUAGUCUUCUGUUAAAACUUCGCGCUUAACGUGGAGCUCGCAGAGGAAACGGCCAGACUCGAGGGUGCGAGAGGUAGAUGGAACUCAUGGAGUAGGGGUGAAAUCCGUUGAUAUCAUGGGGAACACCAAAAGCGAAGGCAAUCUACUGGAGCAUUCCUGACACUGAAACACGAAAGCGUGGGUAGCGAACGGG
rnacentral:rRNA from 1 species